GCUGUGAAGAUUUGCGGCGCUGAUCUGUUUGAACUGAUAUAGCCCACGAUUGUCCUCUAAGAAGUUCUGAGCUU